rnacentral:rRNA from 1 species
UACGGGGGGGGCAAGCGUUGUUCGGAAUUACUGGGCGUAAAGGGCUCGUAGGCGGCCCAACUAAGUCGGACGUGAAAUCCCCAGGCUUAACCUGGGGAACUGCAUUCGAGACUGCAUAGCUAGAGUAUGGGAGAGGGAAGUGGAAUUUCAGGUGUAGCGGUGAAAUUCGUAGAUAUUGGGAAGAACACCGAUGGCGAAGGCAGCCAUCUGGACCGACACUGACGCUGAGGCGCGAAAGCGUGGGGAGCAAACAGG